CAUCCUCCAAGGCUAAAUACUCCUGACUGACCGAUAGUGAACCAGUACCGUGAGGGAAAGGCGAAAAGAACCCCGGCGAGGGGAGUGAAAAAGAACCUGAAACCGUGUACGUACAAGCAGUGGGAGCCCCACCACCAAAGCAUUCUCUGGUGUUGAAGGCCCUGCAAAGCAGCAUCGCGGUGGCGGAGCGUCGUUUGCGACGCCCAACACACAAAACAAGCGGUGAGUGCUUUGGGGUGGGGUGACUGCGUACCUUUUGUAUAAUGGGUCAGCGACUUAUAUUCUGUAGCAAGGUUAACCGUAUAGGGGAGCCGUAGGGAAACCGAGUCUUAACCGGGCGUUAAGUUGCAGGGUAUAGACCCGAAACCCGGUGAUCUAGCCAUGGGCAGGUUGAAGGUUGGGUAACACUAACUGGAGGACCGAACCGACUAAUGUUGAAAAAUUAGCGGAUGACCUGUGGCUGGGGGUGAAAGGCCAAUCAAACCGGGAGAUAGCUGGUUCUCCCCGAAAGCUAUUUAGGUAGCGCCUCGUGAACUCAUCUCCGGGGGUAGAGCACUGUUUCGGCUAGGGGGCCAUCCCGGCUUACCAACCCGAUGCAAACUGCGAAUACCGGAGAAUGUUAUCACGGGAGACACACGGCGGGUGCUAACGUCCGUCGUGAAGAGGGAAACAACCCAGACCGCCAGCUAAGGUCCCAAAGUCAUGGUUAAGUGGGAAACGAUGUGGGAAGGCCCAGACAGCCAGGAUGUUGGCUUAGAAGCAGCCAUCAUUUAAAGAAAGCGUAAUAGCUCACUGGUCGAGUCGGCCUGCGCGGAAGAUGUAACGGGGCUAAACCAUGCACCGAAGCUGCGGCAGCGACGCUGAUGCGUUGUUGGGUAGGGGAGCGUUCUGUAAGCCUGUGAAGGUGGCCUGUGAGGGUUGCUGGAGGUAUCAGAAGUGCGAAUGCUGACAUAAGUAACGAUAAAGCGGGUGAAAAGCCCGCUCGCCGGAAGACCAAGGGUUCCUGUCCAACGUUAAUCGGGGCAGGGUGAGUCGACCCCUAAGGCGAGGCCGAAAGGCGUAGUCGAUGGGAAACGGGUUAAUAUUCCCGUA
rnacentral:rRNA from 1 species